rnacentral:rRNA from 1 species
AAGCGCACGUAGGCGGCUUCGUAAGUCUGGUGUGAAAUCUCACGGCUCAACCGGGAGGCUGCACCAGAUACUGCGGAGCUCGAGGACGGGAGAGGAGAUCGGAAUUCCCGGUGUAGCGGUGAAAUGCAUUGAUAUCGGGAGGAACACCAGUGGCGAAGGCGGAUCUCUGGCCCGUUGCUGACGCUGAGGUGCGAAAGCUGGGGGAGCGAACAGGAUUAGAUACCCUGGUAGUCCACGCCGUAAACGGUGGGUACUAGGUGUGGGUUUCCUUCCUUGGGAUCCGUGCCGUAGCUAACGCAUUAAGUACCCCGCCUGGGGAGUACGGCCGCAAGGCUAAAACUCAAAGGAAUUGACGGGGACCCGCACAAGCGGUGGAUGAUGUGGUUUAAUUCGAUGCAACGCGAAAAACCUUACCCACCUUUGACAUGGCAGGAAGUUUCCAGAGAUGGACUCGUGCUCGAAAGAGAACCUGCACACAGGUGCUGCAUGGCUGUCGUCAGCUCGUGUCGUGAGAUGUUGGGUUAAGUCCCGCAACGAGCGCAACCCUUGUCAUUAGUUGCUACAUUUAGUUGGGCACUCUAAUGAGACUGCCGGUGACAAANCCGGAGGAAGGUGGGGAUGACGUCAAGUCCUCAUGGCCCUUAUAGGUGGGGCUACACACGUCAUACAAUGGCUGGUACAGAGGGUUGCCAACCCGCGAGGGGGAGCUAAUCCCAUAAAACCAGUCGUAGUCCGGAUCGCAGU